rnacentral:rRNA from 1 species
UACGUAGGGACCAAGCGUUGUUCGGAUUUACUGGGCGUAAAGGGCGCGUAGGCGGCGUGGUAAGUCACUUGUGAAAUCUCUGAGCUCAACUCAGAACGGCCAAGUGAUACUGCUGUGCUAGAGUGCAGAAGGGGCAAUCGGAAUUCUUGGUGUAGCGGUGAAAUGCGUAGAUAUCAAGAGGAACACCUGAGGUGAAGACGGGUUGCUGGGCUGACACUGACGCUGAGGCGCGAAAGCGUGGGGAGCGAACAGG